rnacentral:misc_RNA from 1 species
GUAGGUGAACCUGCGGAAGGAUCAUUACCGAGUUCUGCGAUUUCGAUCGCAGCCUCCACCCUUGUUUUUUAUCAUGUUGCUUUGGCGGCUGGUGGACGUCUGUGCGCUGUGCCUUCAAGUACGGUGUGCGGGGUCCGUGUGGUCGGGCGGCCUCCUUUGUUACUUUAGUUACAUCGGGCGCUUGGUCCGGCUCUCACCGCCAGAGACCCAAACUCUGAAUACUUUGCAGUCUGAGAAAAAAAACAAAUCAAUCAAAACUUUCAACAACGGAUCUCUUGGUUCUG